rnacentral:tRNA from 1 species
UGCGGCUGGAUCACCUCCUUUCAAGGAUGUUUCCUGACACGUUGGGAAACGCCGAUAAAAAGACCUGCAUUGGAUCAGUGCAGGCAACGGAUGGCCUCAGGGCGCCGUCAACAUAUCCCUUCCUGUAAUGUUUUGGGCUAGUAGCUCAGUUGGUUAGAGCACACGCUUGAUAAGCGUGGGGUCGGAGGUUCAAGUCCUCCCUGGCCCACCACGACUGUGGUGGUUUCUAGACCUGGGGGCGUAGCUCAGCUGGGAGAGCACCUGCUUUGCAAGCAGGGGGUCGUCGGUUCGAUCCCGUCCGCCUCCACCAGAAACCACACCGGUCAGCGCUGCUUGGCGAGAGCUUCGAGCGGCAUGAUGGUGCGAUAACAUUACAGGUUAAGGGAAAAAUGUUUCCUCCCUGCCGCACUUUGGUGCGGGAGCGAUGAAAAAGUCUGUUCUUUGUCAGUGUGAAUAGGUUGGUGCACUUUCUGGGUGCUGCCACGAUCCGGGUUGGUCUGACCCAUGUGGAUCGGUUUUGGGUUCUUGGACUUUGGUCCGGGAGGCUCUGAUCCGGUCUCGUGUUAAGGAUUGUGGCGUAUAGCGGUCAGAGAGUGUUUUAUAAGUAUGAUGAACUUUGCGUGCGAUGCAUUGCAUUUUCUCUGCGCAGAAAACUCUGAAGCGCGCGAGCGUGGAUGGUUGCUGUGCAUGUGUAGUGUGUGAGCAUGAGAAGGGCAUUCGGUGGAUGCCUUGGCAUC